UGCUUCUCUCUCGCUAGUCAGGGCUGAGAGCUGACCAGAUAGGCAUGACUGUUGCGGCUAAAAUAGUCUAAUCUGCUCCCCACUGAAUCCUAGUCCCCCCGUAAUGUUGCAGUGUUGAUUGGUUACUAGUUCCGCUGCCCCUCCCUCCCCCUUUGCACUCACUCACUCACGGCUGAUUUUCCAAACGUCGUAUCAGUCUUCAUUAACAAUAGUGUGGCUAACUUGUCUAUUUUAACCUGUUUUUCAAGGCAUGGUUAGUUGGUUUUGAUAAUAAGUUUGUAUAACUUAUUAUGAUUUCAGUUUGUGUCGACUUAACUCUGUGAAAAUCCAACACUUCCAACUAAUUCCAUCCCCCAAAAAUGAAGUGAAAAAGCAAAAAUAGCCACACGACUGUUAAUAUAUACUAAUACAUCCUUUGAAAAAUCCGGCAUUACUCACUCACUCACCCGCUGUGUUGAGAGUACCCGUCCUCCACCUGACGUGUGUAAUCGGUGUAAGGUGUGUGUGUGUGUGCGCCUUUUUGUACGCGCAUGCCCAAUAUGUACUCAUAACAGGAAUAGAAAAAACACUACAAGAAAAUGAAGUUCGGGUAUAAAGAUGAAGUUUGCUUAUCUGUUUGCAAUACUUCAUCCUUAUAUCUUAGCUCUAUUUUCUGAGGUUGUAUUUCCUGAGAUGCGUACUUAUUAGAGUGGUGCGUACAGAUCGGCGUACAUACCCUGAUAUUAAUUAAAUGUUGUAGCCUACCCCAGUCUUGCCACCCACCCUCCCCAGAGGUCUCAAAGGUGGCCCCCUCCCUCCAAGAACCCUAACACACAAAAUUUUAAUACUGCCGUUUAGAGACAUUGACCAUCCCUUCAGCGUCCCGGGAUUGCCGUGGGAAAGAUUAGACUAUUUUGGCUCCUGAUUUGCUUGAACUAACUACAACAUAACAGUCUUGAGUCUUGAUUAACUUAGCCUGUCAUUACCUACCAUUGUGAUCGAGAGCUAGAGCUGCCACUGUUUGAUAUUAAUAAGGGUAAUCAGGGACAUGAUUUUCCUUAUGUUUUUGUUACAGCCACUCACUGUUUGAUAAGGCUUUUGUUGUGAAUAACCAGGGGAGGUCUUGUUUUUUUAUGAUUUUAUUGCAGUAGAUGUUUUUUACACUUGUCAGAUGUUAACAGAAUAAGAGUAACCGGGAACAUUACUUUCUUUUGUUUUUAUAUCAGCCACUCACUGUUUGAUAAGGCUUUUGUUGAUGUGCAUAACCAGGGGAGGUCUUGUUUUUUUAUGAUUUUAUUGCAGCAGAAGAUCUUUAUACUUACUUUGGUGUUUAAUGUUAGCAGAGAAUAAGAGUAACCAGGGAGAUUAUUUUCUUUCGUUUGAUAAGGCUUUUGUUGAUGUGCAUAACCAGGGGAGUUAUUGUUUUUUUUAUGUUUUUAUUGCAGCAGAAGAUCUUUAUACUUACUCAGGUGUUUAAUGUUAACAGAGAAUAAGAGUAACCAGGGACACUAUUUUCUUUCGUUUGAUAAGGCUUUUGUUGAUGUGCAUAACCAGGGGAGGUCUUGGUUUUUUAUGAUUUUAUUGCAGUAGAUGUUUUUUACACUUGUCAGAUGUUUAAUGUUAACAGAAUAAGAGUAACCGGGAACAUUACUUUCUUUUGUUUUUAUAUCAGCCACUCACUGUUUGAUAAGGCUUUUGUUGAUGUGAAUAACCAGGGAAGUUGUUUUUUUAUGUUUUAUUGCUGCAGAAAUUCUUGACACGCCUUACUCUACGUUUAAUGUUAAGAGAAUAAGAUAAUAAGAUAAGAUAACCAGGAACAUUAUUUUCUUUUGAUUUUAUUGCCGCCACUCUUUGUUUGAUAAGCCUUUUGUUGAUGUGAAUAACCAGCGGAGGUCUUGUUUUUAUGUUUUAUUCCAGCAGACGUUCUUUACACUCAUCUUACUCUUACGUUUGAUGUUAAGAAAGAGUAAGAAAAGAGAAUGAGAGUAACCAGGGACAUGAUUUUCGUUAAUUUUUAUUGCAGCCACACACUGAUAAGGCUUUUGUUUUUAUGGGUAACUAGGGAUGUUUUUUUCCUGUUUUAUUGCAGAAGUUCUUUACGCAUCUUACUUUUACGAUUAAUGUCGAGAGAAUAAGA